AGAGUUUGAUCCUGGCUCAGGAUGAACGCUAGCUACAGGCUUAACACAUGCAAGUCGAGGGGCAGCAUGGUCUUAGCUUGCUAAGGCCGAUGGCGACCGGCGCACGGGUGAGUAACACGUAUCCAACCUGCCGUCUACUCUUGGACAGCCUUCUGAAAGGAAGAUUAAUACAAGAUGGCAUCAUGAGUCCGCAUGUUCACAUGAUUAAAGGUAUUCCGGUAGACGAUGGGGAUGCGUUCCAUUAGAUAGUAGGCGGGGUAACGGCCCACCUAGCCUUCGAUGGAUAGGGGUUCUGAGAGGAAGGUCCCCCACAUUGGAACUGAGACACGGUCCAAACUCCUACGGGAGGCAGCAGUGAGGAAUAUUGGUCAAUGGGCGAGAGCCUGAACCAGCCAAGUAGCGUGAAGGAUGACUGCCCUAUGGGUUGUAAACUUCUUUUAUAAAGGAAUAAAGUCGGGUAUGCAUACCCGUUUGCAUGUACUUUAUGAAUAAGGAUCGGCUAACUCCGUGCCAGCAGCCGCGGUAAUACGGAGGAUCCGAGCGUUAUCCGGAUUUAUUGGGUUUAAAGGGAGCGUAGAUGGAUGUUUAAGUCAGUUGUGAAAGUUUGCGGCUCAACCGUAAAAUUGCAGUUGAUACUGGAUAUCUUGAGUGCAGUUGAGGCAGGCGGAAUUCGUGGUGUAGCGGUGAAAUGCUUAGAUAUCACGAAGAACUCCGAUUGCGAAGGCAGCCUGCUAAGCUGCAACUGACAUUGAGGCUCGAAAGUGUGGGUAUCAAACAGGAUUAGAUACCCUGGUAGUCCACACGGUAAACGAUGAAUACUCGCUGUUUGCGAUAUACAGCAAGCGGCCAAGCGAAAGCGUUAAGUAUUCCACCUGGGGAGUACGCCGGCAACGGUGAAACUCAAAGGAAUUGACGGGGGCCCGCACAAGCGGAGGAACAUGUGGUUUAAUUCGAUGAUACGCGAGGAACCUUACCCGGGCUUAAAUUGCAGAUGAAUUACGGUGAAAGCCGUAAGCCGCAAGGCAUCUGUGAAGGUGCUGCAUGGUUGUCGUCAGCUCGUGCCGUGAGGUGUCGGCUUAAGUGCCAUAACGAGCGCAACCCUUGUUGUCAGUUACUAACAGGUCAUGCUGAGGACUCUGACAAGACUGCCAUCGUAAGAUGUGAGGAAGGUGGGGAUGACGUCAAAUCAGCACGGCCCUUACGUCCGGGGCUACACACGUGUUGCAAUGGGGGGUACAGAGGGCCGCUACCACGCGAGUGGAUGCCAAUCCCAAAAACCUCUCUCAGUUCGGACUGGAGUCUGCAACCCGACUCCACGAAGCUGGAUUCGCUAGUAAUCGCGCAUCAGCCACGGCGCGGUGAAUACGUUCCCGGGCCUUGUACACACCGCCCGUCAAGCCAUGGGAGCCGGGGGUACCUGAAGUGCGUAACCGCGAGGAGCGCCCUAGGGUAAAACUGGUGACUGGGGCUAAGUCGUAACAAGGUA
rnacentral:rRNA from 1 species